rnacentral:lncRNA from 1 species
CAGGAUCUUGCCCUGUCUGGGUUCCUGCUCUAACUUCCUUCAGUGGUGAACAGCAAUGUUGAAGUGUAGACUUACAGUCUGGAGGCAGGUGUUCACUGAGGCGCGCAAUGUUGCAGCGAGCAGGAAGACAGAGGUGUUAGAUUCAUGAUAAACUUCUAUCCAGGUCAAGGAGGAAUCCAUUCUCCAGUCGUUAAAGUGCAGGGGCCAGAGCCUGUCAGAACAAGACCAUCAGAGACGCAGCUAAAUUUCUAGGCUUGGGGCCAAAGAGACUAUCCUGAGACGUCGUUAUGCAUGGCAAUUUAUGCACUCUUGGAAAACUGGCUUCAAAGGCCACUGAGACAGCUGCAGCUCUUGCAAUACCACUCAGUCCUAAGACAUCCCCCUGAAGCGAAGUCAGGAGACCCUGAAUUAGUAGGCACUCUGGGUGAUCCCGUGGUGGACUCUCCACAUCUUAUGAGAAGCCCCCAGCACCUACCUCCACUUUGUUCAGUGGCUUAUCAUGGAUAUACUAUAGUUUACCUGGGAUCUGGAAGUGGUAAAAACUUGGAAACUUGAAACUGAAAGGCAAUUAUGCCUGCUCUAUUUGAGAAAAAAAAAAUGCCUAGAGAUGGAGAAAACUUCUGGUAGAUUUUUAGGACUUUCACCCCAAAUUAGACAAGGGUUUUGCCUAAGCUGGAACCAACAAUGUUCUGAGGGGGUAAAAUUCAACUUGGCAGAUAUGUGACUCCUUGAAAAUCUUGUCUCCCACUUUUUGGACUUUGAGAAAGGGGAGAUGAGAGUGAAGGCCAUGGAAAUCAACAAGGAUUAAAGUGUGGAAGACCACACAGUAAGAAGAAUCAACAAGAUAGGUGGGGGUGGGGGGUGGGGUGGCGCACGCCUUUAAUCUCAGCACUCGGGAGGCAGAGGCAGGCGGGUAUCUGUGAGUUCGAGACCUACAAAGCAAGUUCCAGGACAGCUUCCAAAGCCACAGAGAAACGCUGUCUCAAAUAAAACAAAAUCAACAAGAGGAGGUGCCCCUCACUAAAAGCCUCUGUAGAAGGGGAACUUCAAUCUACAAAUUAGGAGACCACCCAAGGCAGAGGUGAGGGUCAUUACCCCAGAACAGGAAGUCUUCCGUAGAUGACUGAAAAAAAAAUUUACUGAUAAGCUUCUCUGACAACUUCAUUGAUGUAACUCUCCA